UGACCCCACAGUGUAGCGCCGCGUAGGAUUUUUAGCUCCGGGUCAGCCGUGCGUGGGGGCGGAGCCUCGCGUCUGGAGGUGGGGUCUGUGAUGUGGCAGAAACUAAUUGGUUCCUGCGGUCUGCUCUGCUGCGCUGCUGCUGUCCGUAGGCCCGUGAUGAGGGUGGGCCUGAGUUCCUGAUUUUCUGUGAGUUUUCAGGGGUGCUGCCCUCGCUAAUGGGACGAAGCCAGAACGGUCUCCUCGGUUGCGGAGCUUCGGGAUUAAGUCUGGAAUUAGCAGUCCCCCACUGCGCGGCUCAGUUGCGCAGGCUUAGUACCGGCCACCUCAUAUUUGAAGAUUGAAGAGACUGCUUCUCUUGUUCAAGGUGGGAAAAAGACACAGUUGAGGUGGAGGAAGAACGGGUUUCCAGGGUUAGUAAGUAGCUUCAAAAUAAAGGCUGCGGAUACAAUGAAGAGCGUCUUGGCUAUAAGUUGAGGAAUCUUUUGAGUUUGGCACCUCCUCGGGUAAUAUGACAAGUAUGUAGAUGCACUGAGAAUCGGCAAAACUUAAACCGAUGUGUGUAUGUGUGUACAUAGAUAUAUACACAUACAUGCUUGUAUAUAUCUCUGUAUGGUUAAGCUAUAUAGAACUAUAUAAACCAUAACAUCUUGUCUGUAUAUGAAGCCGAACAUUAAUCUGGCGCCAGACUGCUUAUUUAGCUUCACAUGACCCUGGUCUUCCACAGUUAUUAGUAUUUUUUCUACUAUUAUCCUAGUGGUGAUCCGCAGAAAGGCCACCCUCUCUAGCCUGAUCGUUGUAUAAUAGGCAGGAACUACAUGUGGGCAAAUGAAUAAAUAACAAUAGCCUUAGGGGAAAAAAAUGAUCUUUUGUCUUGUUUUGUUUAGUAUCAGAGGGCAUUCGACCACUGAGCCACAUCCCCAGCCCUAUUUUGUAUUUUAUUUAGAGACAGGAGUCUUGCUGAUUUGCUUGAGGUCCCCACUAAGUUGCUGAGGCUGGCUUUGAACUCACAUUCCUCCUGUCUCCGCCUCCCAAGCUGCUGGGAUUACAGGCAUGUGCCACUGCAACCGGCUACUGAUGUUUGUUGAGAUUUGCAGAACUAAGAAACACUAGGUGAUUUGGCCAUAAACCUACACCUGUGAAAAGGUGCCUACCCAGUAUGUGAUCACCCAUCUCCUAUAUGAUCUGCCUCUAAAUUGGCUUCCUGGCAAGAUGUCUCUUUAGGGAUAAGAAUCUCUAUCAUCUUCCAGCCAGCUAACUUAUUAGAAAAAAAGUUCUUUACAAUGGUAUUUUCUCUCAACUAAUUGGCUUCUGUCAUGAGGCAAGCAGACUAAACCUGUGUGAGGUAGCUCAUAUAACAAUGUAUAGUGCUAGGCAGAGUAGGUACUCAAUGAACAUUCUCUUUAGCCAUCCUUUGAAAGUUCCUGGAUACAAAAUUUAGUUACUGGACUUCAAAACAAUUCUUAGAAGAGUAGAAUUCUUGGGGCCUGAGGAUGGGGCUCAGAGAUUACAGCACAAGCAAAAUCUAAGAGGUGUCUGUAGGGUCAGAAGUGGGAAUGGCUUUAACUUAGCCUUUGUGAAAUAAAUGAAGGAGUUGGGGGGUGUAGUAAGAGUUCAGUGUCUGGCAGCAUAAACAGAAGAAAUGAGUCAGGAAGGAGUUGCUAGGUGCAGUGGUGCACACCUGUAAUCCUGGAUGGCUGAGGCAGGAGGAUCACAAGUUCAAAGCCAGCCUCAGCCACUUAGUGAGACCCUGCCUCAAAAUAAAAAAUAACGGUCAGGUUGGGGAAGAACCAAGUCAUAAUGCUCUCUCCCAUUCCAACCUAUCUUUAGAAUUGUUACCUCACUGAUGCCUCACUUGAUACUUCACCUGACAUCUUCAGUUACAGAUGACGUUCUUUCUAGUUAAUGAUUAGCCUAAGCUUUAUAAAUCUCUGAUCAGGGUCACUGCAUCAGCCUUUUCAUCAUGCUUCCUCCAAUCCAAUGGCCAUUAAUGAUGCAAAUCUGACUGUUCCUUCUGGAGCUUUGUAGGGCUGCAAUUUGUUUAUGUGUUUUGUUACUGGGGAUUGAAUCCAGGGCCACUUUGCCACUGUGCUACAUCUCCAGCCCUUUUAAUUUUUUGAGACAGGUCUCAUCAUAUUGUCAGGACUGGCCCUACACUAUCGCAUGCCUGCAAUCCCAGCGGCUCAAGAGACUGAGGCAGGAGGAUUGUGAAUUCAAAGCCAGCCUCAGCAAUUUAGCAAGGCCCUAAGCAACUUAGAAGACCCUAUCUCAAAAUAAAAAACAAAAAGGGCUGGGGAUGUGGCUCAGGGGUUGAGUGCCCCUAAGUUCAAUUCCUGUUUUUUUUUAAAAAAAGGCCUUAAACUUGUGAUCCUCUUGCCUCAGCCUCCUCAAGUCACUGGGAUUAUAGGCAUGUGCCACUGCACCCAGCCCAGUUCCUGAGAUUUUUUUAAUUUCUGUAUGUCCAGAUUACCUGCACUGUCCUUCCAAAGGCUAGCACCUGAGGCUCUUUGACAACUGUCUGAGGUCUUGCCUGAAAAAGCUGAAAACAAUUUUCAACCCAAGUUUAAAUUCUUUCCUACCCCCACUUCCCAACACAGACUUUAACCAUUAACUAUCAAGUGGAGGAAUUAAUGAGUGGAGCUUAACUCUCUUACUUUUACCUUAAGGCAUAAUUUACUGGCCCUGGACUUUAGCCCAAGAUCACAUCCUUGCUCGGUUUCUCCCCUUCUUUCCUGCCUCUCCUACUCCCUUUUGGGAGACACUUUCUUUACAAAUCACUUGGACAUAAAUCCUCCUCUCAGGGUCUGCUUUUAGGGAAUCCAAAGUAAAACAUCCCUUCCUAGCAUAAAACCCACCAAUGGAUCCCUACUGCCUCCAGGGUAAAGCCUAUGCUUCAAGGCCCUACACCUUUUGGUUGCUGCCUCUCUCUCCAGUUCUACCUUUUGCUCUGCAGCCAGCAGGAAUUUCAGCAUACCAAGGCAUUGUGGUUUCCCACCAUCUGCCACUUGCUGUCUCCCCUUAGUCUCCCAGCUCCAUCACCCUAUAGGGUAGGAGAUGAUAUAGGCCUACAGCCUCAGGAAGUUAGCUGUCAGGGCUCAAAUGUGAAGUCAAGAGAAAGAGGUCCAACUCUUCUCCCCAGUCCCACCAGGCAGCCUCUCCGGCCUUUCUUCCCUGACAAAGGAGGUAGGAUGCUCCCAACUGAGACUUCACUGGAGUUACUCUUCUCACAGGAAGUUCUGCCUCAAGUGUAACACUGAGCCCUCUUGUUAUCUGGAGUCCUUUCCUUUUUCCCAAGUCCCUAACCCUUGCUACUAGGGCCCCACCUUCCUCUGUGGUGGGGCACCAAGUCUCUGCUGAGGCCUGCCAGGACACAACCUUGUGUUCCUUUCUUGGCAGCCACAGAUGCAGCUGGCAGGUGGUAUUUUUAACCUUACUCAGGCACAGGCAUCAGGUGGCUCUGGGGAUUGCCCAGUCUGGUGACCUUCACCUCUAAAAUCUGUGACUUCCAUGAAGGGAAGAGUCAGAACUCUGCAUUUACCUAGGCCUUCAAAAUUGGCUGGGACCCAGAAACACUUGUUAAAUGAGAUGAAUGAAAAAUCUUUGGUUAAGCUGCCCUCACUCCUGCCAAAUCAAACCAGGAGACUUGGGGCCAAUUGUACCCCUGUCUACCAGGUUUCAGAACAGUUAGAAACUGGGACAUGAACCAGUUAAACCCAAGAACUCAGGGAAUCUGAAAGGGGACAGAAAUGAAAGUUUGCCCACCCUCCCCAUACACAGGGCCCAAGAAGGCAUUCAAAAUGUGAACUUUAAUAACAAAUAACAUGUCAAAGUAGGGGUUCCCCAGGAACAAGAAUGACAGAGCUGUUGCUAGAGGCCUCAGAGGUCCCUGUUUCCUCCCCUUCAAGGCUGGGGGCAAGGAAGUAGUGAGCUCUCUUGAGAAGGAGUGGCACCCAGUUCCAUGUAGGUCCAUCUGUCUUGUCUGGGGCCCUAAGACCCAAGAUGCAGCAGUAUGUGGAGCAGAGUGUCACCCUGCCUGACCCAAAGGUCCUGGCAAGGAGUGUGACCCAGCUUGGGCAGGCAAGCAGGCCAAAGGUUGUACAGUCAGAUUCGGAAGCUUUCCUCCCGGCCAUCGAUGUGGCGGAGCCGCAGGUAGACAUCUGUGCCAAUGCCCUGCAGGGACUGCAGCUGCAGGGAACCACCGAGGUACUCGGCGUAGGCCCGUGAUGUGGGCAACCCGAAGCCAAAGCUGGGGGUAGGCAGGGAAAUAGAAUAGGGAGCUUCAGAGGCCUGAGUUCCCUUGGGUUGUUCCCCAUCCCCAGUUGUGGAGGCGGGUGGGGGAGCCUCACCCAUGCAUGGGUCCUGACUGGCCACCACUGUGCAUGUCCAGGUGGCCGAAGAGUGGGCUGAUUCGGGGGUCCUGGGUGCUGGCCUCAGCUGUAGUGAAGUGGUAGUCCAUGACCCUAUCCAAGUCUUUGUGAGCAAUGCCUCCACCCCGGUCUGAAAUUCUGGCAGGGUUUCAACAACAUGGGCUCAGCUCAGGUUUGAUAGGGUCUUACUACCACCCAAGGAAAGAGUGCUAAAUUUGAUUUCCUGUUCCUUACACCCCAAUAUGGAAUGUGGUCCACCUUGACCCUUGGGCCUUGUUUGUUUAACCAACUGUUCUCCAUCCUCACCUUUGCCUGGGCCACUGCCUGCUUAUACCUUCUCAACGGAUUUGAUAUUUAUUCUUAGCCCAGCCUCAAAGACUGGUUUCCCCAUUCUAGGGCCCUCAGUUACUGAUAGAGGCAAGGUCCUGGGAACCAUAGCUGGCUGUAGAUCCAUUAAUAUCCAGUUCAUGGCAAUCUGAGAACCAAAUAAUAUCUUUUCUGACCAGGGUCCAAAUCCCAAAGAGGGGCAGGUACUGGCUCAAGGUUCUACAGCAAAACUGUAAACUGCCUGGAACCCCCAUCCACCCAGCCCAACCCCACUCAGGACAAACCUGAUGAUGAGAUCAAUAUCAUUGUUGGCAAUGGUGAUGACCACAUCUGGAACGUUGUAGGGAGUGUCUAGGUGGCUUUCCAUUGUGGCUCUAUGCAGGAAGGAAAGAUUAGUAGGAGGUGGCACCACAGUUCCUAUCUGGCCCCACCCAGUUGAUCCAGCCUGCCCACCUCAUGGCAUUCUUGAGCAGCUCGGGCAGGAUAUAGUCUAACGGCAUAGGAAUGAAGGGGAAACGGGCAGCCACAUGUCCAUUGAUGCGAACUCGGGGUGCAUUGCCAUACUUAUGCUCACACAGGCGUCUGUGGAUAGGAAAAGGGUUCAGAUAGGAGCCCAUAAAGUAGUGGUUCUCAACUGGAAACUAGUCUGCUCCCAAGGGACCUAUGGAAGUCUGGGGAGAGAAUUUUGCUCCUCACAACUCAGGGGUAUCAAGUCAGUAGAAGCAAGGGUUCCUUCUAAACAUCUUAACAUGAUUAGGACAGCCCCCCACUACAAAGAAUUAUCUAGCUUAAAAUGUCAACAGUGCCAAGGUUGAGAACCCUAACCUAGAUGAUGCCCCAGGCAAGGGCUCAGAACUAAGAGUUCCCUGCCCCAAGACACCCAUCCCUUCAGCCAUUCUAGCCUCACCUGGCAAAGUCCACCCACUUUUCAAUAAUCUUCUUUGGUGAGAGACGAGUACAGAUGAUGCCAACAAAGUCGGGCUGGCAGGAGAAAGAAGGUCAGGACUAGCAACACCUCCAACCCCACCUUGGCGGCCAAAUGCCUGCAACUCUGGAAUGCCAAAGCAGCCCCAAAGCCUCUCCCCCAUGACUUUGGCUUAGGUUCCCAGCCCAAGGGGGGACCUGGCUCAUUUUCCUCUCCUCACUUGACCUUCCCAGGCAGGUCUUGGGUUCCAAAGCCCCACCUUAUCCUCGUGUAGCGCCAGGUGAUGAGUGGCCAACAUGCGGAUCCCAAGCCUUGAAGUCAGUGUCUUGUCCAAGAAGUAGCGGACGAGCUUUUCAUCCUGUAAAAAGCAUGACUUCUGAAACCUCAUGCUCUUUCCCAGUGCCUUUAAUUUGCUAGGCCCUUACUUUGCUGCCACUGACCUCUAUGUGCUUUCGGCUCUCACGCAGGCCUUCAGCUAACAGGGUCACUACAUCUUUGUGGUCAUCUAGCAGCUGUCGCACAAGCUGGCAGUAUUGGGCCUCAUCUGCCUGGUCUUUGAUCUGCAGGUCACAGAUUCAUAAGCACAGGUGGUCCAACCCUGGUGUCUUAGUCCCUUACCGCCCUGCUCUGCCCAGCCUCACCGGAGGGAAGUCUGUCAGCUUCUGGAAAGCACGGAUAUACAGCUCAUGCUGCAAGGAAGAAGUAUGGGAAUUCACAGGGCUGCUACCGGCACUGGGUAGAGAACAGCCAUCCAUGCGUGCCCAUCUGGUUCACCACCCAACCCACUUCAAAUGGUUCCAACCCCCACUGUGACCUUUCCAACCUCUAUCAAUAUGUAGCUUUACCUUCAAAGGCUUGGGUUGAGUCCUGUAUGGCCCUGACACAGCAGGCAAGUCUGCCAUUCUGGGCCCCAGGCUCCCUACUGAACCCUUGGGUGGUAUGCACACUGAUCAAAGAUCCUGUCUACCUUACCACAUGCAGUAUGGUGGGGUUGCAGCCAAUGAUAAAAGGAAGGCUGCGGAAGCCCUUGAUGCGGUGAGCAAUCCUCACUGGUAGCUCCUGCUGCAGGUACCGGCCACUUUUCUAUAAGAGGGCAAACAAGGCCAAGACCUGAGUGGCUGCCCUGAGCUCCAGGAGCCAAAGGGGAAACAGGGAUCAGCAAUCUUACCAAAAGGUGACUGCCAUCCUGGGAGCGGCCAGAAUAGAGCAUCAUGGUCGGAGUGAGGCGGACUGAGGGCUGAAGAUAGAUGGACCUUGAGCACUGGACCUCCAACAUCCCUUCCCCACCACAUAGCUCCUCGUUCCCUGAACACCUACUCCAGCACUUGACCCCUGCUAACCAUCAGCACUGCGCACCUUCUCCGCUGCCACAUCGAUGACUGAUUGAUUGUAGAAGGAAGUGACCGUCUUGGAGCGCUCCCGUGCCAUCUCCACAUGGUGUGUAUCCGUGGCGGAUGUAGAAUGGGCCCGUAUGGAGAGUGACAGCCCCAAGAGAGGCCGAAGUGAAGGCCCAGCCCGAGGGCUGCUCCCAAGCACCGACGCCAGUAUCAUCGUCCUGCUCUUUUGUCAGACUAGUCUGUUACCAGGCCUGAGCACCCAACAGAUGGAGGCGACCCCAAAACGGGGCAAACAGUGUGGGUGGACAGAGGUCUUUCUCUGACUUCAAGGGUGAGGAUCCGUCGAGGAUGCUGACCAGCUCAGCCCCAGGAGAGUAUCUCCCAUCUACCAGAGCAGGGUAAAGUGGACUUGUAAGGAUCCGAAUUCAGAAGACCUGCACCACUUCUCCACAUGAGCACCGGUAUCCUCAAACCUAAGCAAUCUCUAGCCAGCCCUUCAGUCACCUCCCCAAACACAAGUUAAGCCUAGUCAACCUUGCUUUCCGGAGGUCCUAUUCAAUCUGAGGCUCUACCUGAUGGUCUGGGGAGUCAGGCGAAGAACUCAAACCCAUCCAGCCCAAAACCUCGCCCUGGCUUCCUCAGGUACAGGGGGCGGGGCUGACCCCUACCCAGCGCGGUCAGACCCGGGCCCCAGGAGCCAGGCCUGAGUACGUGCGACACAGCACUGUGAGCCAGAGAGCCAGCUGCGUAGAGGCUACGGACCGGGAGUCCCCAUCUGAGUUUACCCCUCAGCGAGGUUUCUUGGUUCGGCCCGGGUCCCCCCCAUAUGGUAGAUGGCAGCCCCUCGCCCAUGCGCACUCCAGCGCAAAUGGUGGCGGCUGUGGACGCGUGCUGCGCAGCCUUAGCCCGCAGGUCUAUGCAAAUAUUCCACUUACCGCGGGGCUAGAGCCAGGGCCCGGGUCCGAGCGGAACCGCCCUGUAGACCAACGCGGCUACCCAAGCUGCCUGCGCCCUCUGCCGCUGCGACGUCGCGUGGGCUGUGGGCGCCCGAUGCCUCCUGGGAGUUGUAGUUUGCUGCUGAGGACUCACAGCGGGGGCUCCAGUCCAUUCUGGCUACAUCCCGGUUUCCGGACCACUUGAUAAAUGGAGCUCCCUCCCGAAAUUACCUGUGGCCUGUGGACUCUAUUUUCUGCUUUAUAAAAUGGGCUCCCUCGGGGCUGGAAUUGUGGCUCAGUGGUAAAGCGCUCGCCUAGCGCGGGCGAGGCCCUGGGUUCGAGCCUCAGCACUACAUAAAAAAAUAAAAAUAAAAGUAUUGUGUCCAUCUGCAACAAAAUAUAUAUAUAUAUUAAAAAAAUAAAAUAAAAUAAAAUGGGCUCCCUGGGCCCGGCGCGGCGGCGCACGCCUGUAAUCCCAGCGGCUCAGGGGGCUGAGACAGGAGGAUCGCGAGUUCAAAGCCAGCCUCAGCAAUGGUGAGGCGCUAAGCAACUCAGUGAGAUCCUGUCUCUAAAUAAAAUACAAAAUAGGGCUGGGGAUGUGACUCAGUGGCCAAGUGCCCCCUGCGUUCAACCCCUGGUACAAAAAAAAAAAAAAAAGAUGUGAGGGGAUACCUGGGAGCAAAACGCUAGUAAGGAAAGACUCUUAGAUGUCAAGCAUACAGAUUAAACCCUACCGGUUUCCCUGAGGUCUUAUCCUUCACUUUUCAGCUCUCGACUCAUUCAUGGGAAAGUAAACUGCGUGAUUCGAACCCCAGCUCUGCCCCCUAAUACUUGAAACAAGUUAGUUAACUGCUGGGUGCUUUAAUUUUGGUAUUGGUAAAAUGAGGAUGUAUUAUUCAAGCGGGGUGACUGUGGAAGCUAAAGUAGGAGGAUCGCAAAUUCGAGGCCAGCCUCAGCAAUUUAGAGCAGCCCUAAGUAACUUAGUGAGACCCCUUCUCAAAAUUUAAAAAUAAAAAGGACUGGUGGUGUAGUUUCAUGGUAAAGUGCCCCUUGGUUCAAUCCCCAAUACAUAAAUAAAUAAAGGAUUAUUAAUCCUGG